UGGGAUAUCGCCAAGUGGUAAGGCACCACAUUCUGACUGUGGCAUUCGUAGGUUCGAAUCCUACUAUCCUAGCCA
rnacentral:tRNA from 2 species